AUUGAACGCUGGCGGCAGGCUUAACACAUGCAAGUCGAGCGGAGAUGAGGUGCUUGCACCUUAUCUUAGCGGCGGACGGGUGAGUAAUGCUUAGGAAUCUGCCUAUUAGUGGGGGACAACAUUCCGAAAGGAAUGCUAAUACCGCAUACGUCCUACGGGAGAAAGCAGGGGAUCUUCGGACCUUGCGCUAAUAGAUGAGCCUAAGUCGGAUUAGCUAGUUGGUGGGGUAAAGGCCUACCAAGGCGACGAUCUGUAGCGGGUCUGAGAGGAUGAUCCGCCACACUGGGACUGAGACACGGCCCAGACUCCUACGGGAGGCAGCAGUGGGGAAUAUUGGACAAUGGGGGAAACCCCGAUCCAGCCAUGCCGCGUGUGUGAAGAAGGCCUUAUGGUUGUAAAGCACUUUAAGCGAGGAGGAGGCUACUGAGACUAAUACUCUUGGAUAGUGGACGUUACUCGCAGAAUAAGCACCGGCUAACUCCGUGCCAGCCGCCGCAGUAACAC
rnacentral:rRNA from 1 species